GCCCUGCUUUCCCAAGCAUGCAGGACCCUGGCUCCCAGCGCUGCCUCCUCAGCCCUCGGCCUUCGCCCAAGGUUCCCUACCUCAAUAGCUGUCCUGGAACUAGGGACUCCCCCACCCAGGGCUCCAGAGAUGUGAGAUGCACCGGGGCCUGGGUGGGGCCUUGGGGCUCCCUGUUUUCCCCUUCCAGCCCCAGAGCCUCUCAAAUUCCCAGAGGUGCCCUCCAGCCGGGGAGGGUGGGGCUGCUCCUGGGAUCAUGCAGAGUCACAGCUGCUGAGUGACGGGGCUGUGGCGGCGGCCUUCCACCACUCCGGGGCUCCCCGUCCAGCCUACCUGUCCCAGCACCUGUUCCGCCCACUUGUGAUGCUCAGUAAGGGGGGGGGGGGGCAGAUGGCCGCCAGGGGCCGCGUGCUGGCACCUGUGAGCUGGGAAUCGAGAUUCCGGAUUCCGUGUAGGGAGAUGUGAGGCGGGAGAGAAAAGGGAGUCAGAAGAGGGGACACCAAGGAGGAAGAGGGCAUCAAGAGGCAGAGGAGGAGUGUAAGCGUGGAGGGAGAGGGCCUGAGCGCCACGGGGUAGGAGCACCGACGGCGGGGGAGGGCGGGGGGGAGAGACCUUACCGACAGAGCCAGGGCUCUCUCCAGCCGCGCCUGCCUCCUGGUCUCCCAGCCUUCAGUCCCACCCCAAGAGCCCUCGGGGUCUCGCGGAAGGCGGCUGCGCUGGGGGAAAGUCCCGGGCAGAGGCAGGGUGGCCAAGGCGCGGUGCGGGUGCUGGCGGGGCUGGAAGGGGCUGGAAGGGAGCGGUGGGUCCAGAGCGCAAACUCGGGGCUGGAAGUCACCAGCAUCUUCUCCUCUGGCUGCCAGCUCCUGUCCUACCCGAGAGGAACCUGGAGAGCUGGGUCCGGAAGCGGCCGGGGGCCUUGGACCCUAAACGUCAAGGCUGGGGGUACUGGCAGGGGCAGUGCCCACCGACUCGGGCCUCGCCACUGGAGCCGCCUGAGGGACUGCGUUUGGCCCCAACGUACCUGGGCCUCCGGAAUGGGCCCCAGGUAGGCUCUGGUUCCCGGAACUCCGCACUGCAGACUUCGGGCGCCCCGAGCUCUCCGCCCGCAUUCUGGGGGGCGCCUGGCCGUGGCACGUGCGCCUCCACCUGGGUCCUCCCCGCGGCUCCGAGGUCCCUGCGCCCCGAGCCGGGUCCUGCGAGAGGUGCCCCGCAUCCGGGCAGAGGCCACGCAGCCCGGCUCCGGCUCCCGCUCCAAGCCAGCCGCCCCAGGCCCCACCCCUGCUCCUCGGGCCCCCUCCCUGCUCCCCGGCUCCGGCGCAGUCCGACCCUAGGGCCCGGCCUCGGCGCAGGAACCGGACCGUGGCGCCGGCCGCCGAGUGGUCUGUGCUGCUGCGCGCGCUCGCGGGGCCGGACAGGGACGCCGCGCAAGCCUGCGCAGUGGCCGCCAUCCUGGUGCCGGGCGACUACAGCAGCGUGGAGCUGGGCGCCGACCUGGCCCUGCUGCGCCUCGCCUCGACAGCCAGGCUGGGCCCCGCCGUGCAUCCGUCGGCCUGCCCCGCGCCGCCCACCGCUUCUUGCCCGGCGCCGCCUGCUGGGCCAACGCCUGGGUGCCGCCCAGGAGGCGGGUUUAGAUCCGACUAGAGUGCCCGGCCCAGCUGUACUUCAGACCAAUCAUUUCACCCAGUACAUUUCCUCCCCUGUAAAGUGGGGUCACCCGGGCGUGGUGGCGCACGCCUCUGGUCCCAGCACUUGGGAGGCUGAGGCAGGAGGAUCACCGCGAGUUCGAGGCCAGCCUGGGCUACAUAGUGAGUUUAAGGCCGCCUUGAACUACAUAAUGAGACCUUAUGGGUAGGUUAAAUGAAAAAAAUCCACCUGCAACUUGUAGCACAGUGCCUAGCAUCGCCAUACUUAAUGUGUUCUGGGCAUGUUUUGUUUUGUUUUGGUACCGGGGAUCGAACUCAGGACUUUGCGCUUGUGGGG
rnacentral:lncRNA from 1 species